rnacentral:rRNA from 1 species
AAAUUGAAGAGUUUGAUCAUGGCUCAGAUUGAACGCUGGCGGCAGGCCUAACACAUGCAAGUCGAGCGGUAGCACAGAGAGCUUGCUCUCGGGUGACGAGCGGCGGACGGGUGAGUAAUGUCUGGGAAACUGCCUGAUGGAGGGGGAUAACUACUGGAAACGGUAGCUAAUACCGCAUAAUGUCGCAAGACCAAAGUGGGGGACCUUCGGGCCUCAUGCCAUCAGAUGUGCCCAGAUGGGAUUAGCUAGUAGGUGGGGUAACGGCUCACCUAGGCGACGAUCCCUAGCUGGUCUGAGAGGAUGACCAGCCACACUGGAACUGAGACACGGUCCAGACUCCUACGGGAGGCAGCAGUGGGGAAUAUUGCACAAUGGGCGCAAGCCUGAUGCAGCCAUGCCGCGUGUGUGAAGAAGGCCUUCGGGUUGUAAAGCACUUUCAGCGGGGAGGAAGGCGAUAAGGUUAAUAACCUCAUCGAUUGACGUUACCCGCAGAAGAAGCACCGGCUAACUCCGUGCCAGCAGCCGCGGUAAUACGGAGGGUGCAAGCGUUAAUCGGAAUUACUGGGCGUAAAGCGCACGCAGGCGGUCUGUCAAGUCGGAUGUGAAAUCCCCGGGCUCAACCUGGGAACUGCAUUCGAAACUGGCAGGCUAGAGUCUUGUAGAGGGGGGUAGAAUUCCAGGUGUAGCGGUGAAAUGCGUAGAGAUCUGGAGGAAUACCGGUGGCGAAGGCGGCCCCCUGGACAAAGACUGACGCUCAGGUGCGAAAGCGUGGGGAGCAAACAGGAUUAGAUACCCUGGUAGUCCACGCCGUAAACGAUGUCGAUUUGGAGGUUGUGCCCUUGAGGCGUGGCUUCCGGAGCUAACGCGUUAAAUCGACCGCCUGGGGAGUACGGCCGCAAGGUUAAAACUCAAAUGAAUUGACGGGGGCCCGCACAAGCGGUGGAGCAUGUGGUUUAAUUCGAUGCAACGCGAAGAACCUUACCUGGUCUUGACAUCCACAGAACUUAGCAGAGAUGCUUUGGUGCCUUCGGGAACUGUGAGACAGGUGCUGCAUGGCUGUCGUCAGCUCGUGUUGUGAAAUGUUGGGUUAAGUCCCGCAACGAGCGCAACCCUUAUCCUUUGUUGCCAGCGGUCCGGCCGGGAACUCAAAGGAGACUGCCAGUGAUAAACUGGAGGAAGGUGGGGAUGACGUCAAGUCAUCAUGGCCCUUACGACCAGGGCUACACACGUGCUACAAUGGCAUAUACAAAGAGAAGCGACCUCGCGAGAGCAAGCGGACCUCAUAAAGUAUGUCGUAGUCCGGAUUGGAGUCUGCAACUCGACUCCAUGAAGUCGGAAUCGCUAGUAAUCGUAGAUCAGAAUGCUACGGUGAAUACGUUCCCGGGCCUUGUACACACCGCCCGUCACACCAUGGGAGUGGGUUGCAAAAGAAGUAGGUAGCUUAACCUUCGGGAGGGCGCUUACCACUUUGUGAUUCAUGACUGGGGUGAAGUCGUAACAAGGUAACCGUAGGGGAACCUGCGGUUGGAUCACCUCCUUACCUUAAAGAA